GGUCCUGGUUCCUUUGACUGUUUUCUUGUAUAGGAAAUUCAAGCCCUCUCAUCAGUCUUCUAAAAGUGAACCUGUCAACAAUAUGGAUGAGAUACAUACUGGUGAUAUGUAUGAAGAGUUUGCAGCUCAACCAGCAGAACAGGAGCUUCAUUACAGCCAGAUAGCUUUGGAGAAAAUGAACCCCAUUUACUCCAGCGUCCAGAAGCAUCCAGAGCAAGAGCAUGUCGCCUAUUCUGUGGUCAGAACAAGAAC